CGAUGACGUCAGCAAGCAAAGAGGCCCGUCCACGGCCAGCUCCGUAAAGCGUACGAGAGCUCUUGACGUUUCGCUUCUUUGCGUUCAGUUUCGUGUUAUUUUCGGUCGGUCGUUCGAUCUCCAGUCGGCUGCGUUCGAUCGGUAUCGUCGGGAAUUCGGUACGUAUCACGUGGCGGGAAAAGCGUAUCGUUGCUCCGAAGUCGCGCGUUCCUUCUGCGAGUGCAAUCGAGAAUCGAAAAGCGAAAGAGAGAAAGCGGCUAGAGAGAUGGAGGAGGAGGCGUCCGUAGCGACCUAACCUCCCAACCGGUGCGUCAGUGAUUUUAAUCGGCGUUAUAGCACAGCCGUAUAACCGUGUCACGCGAACCUGUACGAACUAUUGCGGAAACUGAUUCGUCCGAGAAACGCUAAAACAUCUGGCGUUCACCGUUUGACAGCAAGCCGACGACAGGCAUUCCUCGAGUACAGUUUCUAACCUCUGUCGCGCCACCGGUGUUGAUUUUAAACGUACGAACGAAAACGGAGCAAUGGGUGAAGUCGAUGAAUAAAGAGACAAAGUGGAAUAGGUGAAAAAAAAAAAAAAAAAAAAACUGUCGUGCAUACAUCGACAUUCGUGUUCAAUCUCGUUUUUUGUUUCUUCUUUCGUCCUACGUGCUAGCCUGAGAAAAUAUCGUGAUCCGAUUGGCGGUAGAAAUUCAUUCUGAAGCGAGACGGAUGAGCGAGGAGCAACCUGUUUCACAUCUGUGUGAGUGCAUCCGUGUUUCUCAUGGAAUGCGAGAAUCGUGCGUGCAUAGGCAUCCUCAUACGUGGUGAUUUUUAAUUAAAAUUAGAUGAAAGUGCAGUGUUCGUAUAGACGAGUGCAUCUGCUCCUUGUCGUCCCGUAACGUGCUCCGUUAGCGUGAAUCAGUGAUCCUCUUACGCAGUUGAAGAAACGAGUUCGAUUUUUGUCCGGAUUCCUUCCGCACUAACGAUUCGUAGUUCGUAC